UACGUAGGGUGCGAGCGUUAAUCGGAAUUACUGGGCGUAAAGCGUGCGCAGGCGGUCUUUUAAGUCAGAUGUGAAAUCCCCGGGCUUAACCUGGGAACUGCGUUUGAAACUGGAAGGCUUGAGUGUGGCAGAGGGGGGUGGAAUUCCACGUGUAGCAGUGAAAUGCGUAGAGAUGUGGAGGAACACCGAUGGCGAAGGCAGCCCCCUGGGCCAAUACUGACGCUCAGGCACGAAAGCGUGGGGAGCAAACAGG
rnacentral:rRNA from 1 species